AUGAACGCUGGCGGCGUGCCUAAUACAUGCAAGUCGAGCGAACGGACGAGAAGCUUGCUUCUCUGAUGUUAGCGGCGGACGGGUGAGUAACACGUGGAUAACCUACCUAUAAGACUGGGAUAACUUCGGGAAACCGGAGCUAAUACCGGAUGAUAUUUUGAACCGCAUGGUUCAAAAGUGAAAGACGGCCUUGCUGUCACUUAUAGAUGGAUCCGCGCUGCAUUAGCUAGUUGGUAAGGUAACGGCUUACCAAGGCAACGAUGCAUAGCCGACCUGAGAGGGUGAUCGGCCACACUGGAACUGAGACACGGUCCAGACUCCUACGGGAGGCAGCAGUAGGGAAUCUUCCGCAAUGGGCGAAAGCCUGACGGAGCAACGCCGCGUGAGUGAUGAAGGUCUUCGGAUCGUAAAACUCUGUUAUUAGGGAAGAACAUAUGUGUAAGUAACUGUGCACAUCUUGACGGUACCUAAUCAGAAAGCCACGGCUAACUACGUG
rnacentral:rRNA from 1 species